GGUAAUACGUUAACAUAGAGACAGAGUAAUCACUCAAGGGCGAGACAUGGCUGGAGGAGACAGGACACAUAAGCCUCCUUUGUCCAUGUAUGAAUGUUGCGCGGUUACUCUGUCCUCAUCUACCAACAAGCCAAAAUUUCUCGUCAGGUACGAUUACUAAUUCUCUGUUAUUACAAUUUCAUCAACGCAACAAUGAAAGGACAUAUGUACACACAGUAACACAAGAGACUUCAAAUGAUGAAGAGUCAUAGAACAAAGAGCAUUGCUGGAGCCAAUGUUUCGACAAGGAGAAUAAUACAAGUCCUCUUGUCAGCGUGUUGGCUCCAGUGACAUUUCUCGUUCUAUCACUAUUUACCGUUAAAAGGAACCAUUAUUGCUCUUGCUGAAGUAUUAUGCAUUAUGUAAUAAAAAUUGGCAGGGUGAAAGGUCAAGAAUGUGAAAGUUUUUCUGUAGUCUAAUGCUAGAUCCAAGACAGGCAGAGAAACAAGAAUAAGAUUUAGAGAAGCACUUUGUUAGCACUACCCAGUUGGCCAGCUUCAUUUGCAGCUUGCACUUUAUUGCAUUAAUAACCAUAGAAAUUAGUAAAUAAAUUAGCUUGAUUUACUUUUGUCAAGAGAUGCUCAACUUGGAUUAAGGCAGGUUAAAAAAUAUACAAUGACAUUUUAAGAUGGCAGGCUUGCAGUUGAUUAGCACACCACUUGGUGGCAUGAGCUCAGGUUCGGGUUGCACACUCUUUUUCGUCUUUGCUGGCAUUUUCAUAAACAUAACUUUGGCUUCGUUAUUGUUGGGGUUCUAGUGUUGUAGGAGCUAACUGUUUACCUUUUUUGUAUUAGUAACCACGUUACAUGGACAACUGCUGCAUUUUUGUAAAUUACGACAUGGUAGGACUUGAAACAUUUGUGCAAAUUUGUUGCAGGUAGAACUUGGCGGCUCCUGCUCCUGCCUUCCACCACCACCCUGUCCCGACUGCUUCCACUAGAGAGUUGGCAACCUUAGUGAUGAUGCCAAGCAGUCCGAUGGCAGACGGCAAGAUGCAGGUUGCUGCGAAAUUUUACCCGAGCUGGGCCACACACUUGAGCCAGGCCUCUUGGAAAGGAUGCCAUAAUCAGACUCCACGCGUCGAUGUCAGAGGAUGCCAGGGAUCAAGGCAACCUGUUGUGCCCCACUAUUCAAUGUUUGGUGACCCUUCUAUGUGUUUCACCUAUUUCGCAGCUGUACCUCGGCUGCCAUCUAUCCAAACAGCAUCGCCAGCUGUGCCCACUUGUUGAACCAUGGGCAAAUAUUGGCAUGGAGUGUUCCCUGGGCUUCAUGUUCUAUUUGCUCUUCAGGAUUCUUGGCAAAUACUCCUGUUAUAAGUUACAUGUUUUUAGUACCGACUUUUUAAUAUUUCCUUUCUCUUGGAAUUCUUAACAUCUCCUGCUAUUAUAUCUGUAUGUAUGCCCAGUUUCUCGUAGUUAUUUUGUACUUGUGUAUGUAAUUGAUAGGUUCUUAACUCUUGUAAUGCGUAAGGCUAAAACACUGACUUACAUCAUGUUUUGUUCAUUUAUUGAUCUGCAGCGCUGUAAAACGUUCAAGAAUUUUAACUCAACUAGUGCCCCAUAGCAGGAUAAAUUCAAGAGCAAAAUUGAGCACCUAUUUCAAGCACCUGUUAUUUUUUAAAAAGGAAAGAACGUAGGAGCAUGUAAAAAAACAGUAUUAUAGUAGGAAAACCUGGCUGCCCAUCAUAAGUGUCUUAAUAAUGUGACUUCCUUUCAGUGCAAUGAUACCAGUGGCACUGGUGGACAACGUUUGAGACAUGAAACCCAUGAUACGCUUGGCAUUCGUCAGUAUGGCAAAUAGGCUUGCCACACUUACGAAUGCCAACGGUACUGUAGGUUUCAUGCACACAUUGGUUGUGUUACACCUUAUGAGAAUUGCAUGUCUCGAACAUGAAGGUUUACAGCAGUGCUUUGAAUCACCACUAUAUUUCCUAAUUUUCAAUAUUUAUGAAUGCAAGAGUAAUGGUACAGAUCAUGUAAAAAUUAUUUUACAGGCUAUAUGCCUAUAGAUACACGCUUCUGAUGACACAGCACCGACAUGUGGUGGCGGGAUGUAUGUCUUUAUUUCAGAUUUAAAUAUUGCCUUCCAGGCCUGGGUUAGUCUACUACAUUGAGAGCCCAUGCACUAGAGGGAAGUGAAUUAAACUAAGAAUGAUAAACUUCAAAAUAUCUUGUUCGUGGCACUAAUUUGACAAUCAGCAAGGUUCUUUCUGCAUUCAUUUCCAAAUUUGUGAUAUAUUUUAUAUGACUCGUUUCAUUAAUGUGAGAACAAAUAUUUGUUUAUUGUCAACAUAGUUGAUGUUGCCCAUUUGCACACCAUUCCUUAACAGGCUAAAAAUUCAAUGUAAUAAUGGGGUGUUUAAGGUUUUGCGCACUCAGUGUUAAGGGACGCAAAUGGUGGCAUACAACAGAAUGCACGAAAGAACAAAAAAAUGCAAGUAGGACAUGGGGCUUUGGGGCAGAUGCUUUGGUGUGCUAUUUCUAAAACUCCCUGCGCUCUGCCUGAAUGCAUUGUCUAACGCUUUGGUAGAAUACAUUGGCAGCCACUUAUUCAGGUGAAAUGCUUCUCGAAACAACUUUUUAAAAUUAUUUCAGUGAGAGAUUUGAAAUAAUCCUGCUGCAUAUAGUUUUGUAUGCAGAUUUUAAGUAUGUCAAUGGUUUUUGUGUAGCUGCUAUAUUUUUUUAGUUAUGUCCUACACAGUGGCAAAGUAUCUGCGGGCACUUUAAUGUAUAUAACAGUUUCACAAGAAUGAUCGUGCUGUAUCUUAUUCAGCUCGUAGACCGCAAAGUGCCGAUAUCUACCCAAACAGCAUGUAAAAUUACUGAAACUAUGCAAAAAAUAGGACACUUGAAAUAAUUUUGAAAGAUAUUGCAAUUUCAAGUAGAUAUUAGCAUUCUAUAUACCUUAAGAGUAUGUAAGCCGAAUCUCGUUAGUAUCGGACAAAUGUAAGUGCACAAAGUUAUUUGCAUGGGAUUGUGAAAAAAUUAUUAAAGUGUACGGAGCUUUACUUGCAUAGUCCCACUAAGUUUACAUGUUUCGAUAGAUAUCGGCACUUUGUCAUCUACAAAGAGCUAAGUUAGCACAAUGGUUUUUGUGAAAAUUUAAUACAGAAGAAACUGCCCGCAAAGAUCAUAUACAUUGUGCCAUUGUUUAAGACAUAACUGAAGAAAUGUAGCAGCUAAACAAAAAUAACAUAUAUGAAAUCAGCUUGAAGAACCCUCUAAUUGGCUUAAUUUUCAAACCUCUAGUACAAAAAAUAAAAGAAAAUCAUUUUGAGUAGCAUUUCCCUUGAACACAAGAUUUAAUAAACAAAACGUGUCCCUUGCUAUAGUCGCCUUUAACAUAGUGACACAACUUCUAUAUAAUCACAUGAAGCGCUUUAGAUCACAAGAACUUUAUAUGAGUGACGUGCAAAUGCAUUUACUGAGAGUAAAUUACAGUCGUUACGUAAUCUGCUCUUAGGAUGACUUGUGAUGAGUAAAAGAAGCCUUCCUCAUGUCUCUACUUUCUGCAUGUGUCUUUCAGCUUUUUCUGUAUGUGUCUUUUACAGCUGCAUGUGUGCAGCUGAGUUCAGUUUAGUUACCACCUGGUCUGCUUCCUUCCUUGUCCUCAUGAUUCAUGCGCUAUCUUUGUCAUGCAAAAUACAGCUACCUGUGCUACAUAUUUUGCCAGCAUGAUUGAUUUAUGGCAAGUCUUGUAUUAGUGCGUAUUGCAAUCAGUGAAAUUGUUGGUGUCUUAAAAAACUUAGUCCUAAAAAACCAUGUUUAGGUCAACUUCAAUAAAAUGUUUAGCUUAAAUAUUGCUGUAUGUUUUUUGUAAUAUUGUCAGUUUUCAAGUUUGUAUCCACUGUUGCAGAUUGUAUGAAAGAAUAAAAUUGAUGCACAACUUU